AUUUAUUUAAUAUAAAAAGUAUAUUAAGCUUCCAACUUAAAAGUUUCACAAGAAAAUAAAUA
rnacentral:tRNA from 1 species